AUCUGGAGGAGGGCUGCAGGUACUACCCGGACACGCUGCGCGACGGGGCGCUGAGGAAGACGGCUCUGACACCAGGAGACCGGAUGGGCAGCAUGGAGAGGACAAGAAUCUACAUUUUUUUCAUCAAACACCCACUGGAAAAACUUGAGCAUGGACACCAAAUAUUUGAAGAUGCUGACAAAUUACUACAGUGCUUUUGAGCAUUGCAGAUGGUGCUGGCAGCCCCCCUGCCAGCUCGUUGCCUUUUCCCUUUGCUGUUUUACAAAUGGGAAGCAGGGAGAGAAAGGGUCCCAGAUGUGCCAAGGACAGAGAAGAAGACAAAGCUCCUCGCUUCGCGUGCAGUCCGCCCAGUGGAUGACUCCUGUCUGAUCAUGUCCAUGUUGUGGAGAGUUGUGUGAAAUCACCGCAUGAUACUAAUAGCGACACUGGGAAUUGUAUAAAAGCAAAUAAAACUGUGCUUCCGAAAGCA
rnacentral:lncRNA from 1 species